GACGAACGCUGGCGGCGUGCUUAACACAUGCAAGUCGAACGGAAAGGCCCUGCUUUUGUGGGGUGCUCGAGUGGCGAACGGGUGAGUAACACGUGAGUAACCUGCCCUUGACUUUGGGAUAACUUCAGGAAACUGGGGCUAAUACCGGAUAGGAGCUCCUGCUGCAUGGUGGGGGUUGGAAAGUUUCGGCGGUUGGGGAUGGACUCGCGGCUUAUCCGCUUGUUGGUGGGGUAGUGGCUUACCAAGGCUUUGACGGGUAGCCGGCCUGAGAGGGUGACCGGCCACAUUGGGACUGAGAUACGGCCCAGACUCCUACGGGACGCAGCAGUGGGGAAUAUUGCACAAUGGGCGGAAGCCUGAUGCAGCAACGCCGCGUGCGGGAUGACGGCCUUCGGGUUGUAAACCGCUUUCGCCUGUGACGAAGCGUGAGUGACGGUAAUGGGUAAAGAAGCACCGGCUAACUACGUG
rnacentral:rRNA from 1 species